AAGAUGGGGGAAGGGUGGCUUGGAUGGUGGUUUCAGACGGUUUACCAGUUGUAGUAGGACUGUUUUUAUAAAACAUACUCCAAAGUUGGGGUUAUUGAGAAAUAAUCAAAAGUUAGGUACUAAAAAUGACAUAACGUCCAUAAUUGGGAUGGUGCCUAUUUUAAUUCAAAAAAAACUAGUUGUUGGUUUACCAACAUAUCUCUGAAUUUCAUGAAAGAGUUCAUAAAUUUAUUGAAGUCUUCUAUGCUUUUCAUCAACUAUCAUUGAAAAUUUGAAUUGCUAUUCUCCUUCCUUCUGCCUCUUCUGUUAAGAGGAGUUGUUUUUCUUAUGCAGUUCCUAUAGGUUUUCUGAAUUUGGUAAGAUCAACUAAAAAGUUUGACUUGCGAAUACUGAAAAUCAGGGUUUUGAGCUUGAAAUUAUUUUUAUUCUCCGUGUGCUACUUUGAAGUUCUGUUAGUAUUACUUUUUAUUAGUCACCAUUAUGCUUUGGCACUCAUUGUUUUUAUUUUAUUUUUGAACUGAUACAUAUUAGAAGAUAUGAAUUACUGGAAUGUUUAUAAUUUAGUCAUAUUAUGCUUUUUUGUGGCUCAUGUUCUGAGAUGUAGCUGUGCUUACAUGGAGACAGAAAAUUUAGAAAAAUUGCAAUUCCAAGAGGUUAAAGAAUGACUAGAUGAAACCACAAGGCUGGCUAAGUUAAUAUUGUAUGUGAAAAUUUCGUAGAAGCCAUUCCCGUAUUUUUGGUUUCCUUUUCCCUCUUCUUUAAGGAUUUAGGGGGUUGCGACGUUAAGUUAAUCUUUUUACAAGGUCAAUGAGCCAAGUCAUGUAGCUUAGGGUAGUUCUUUUUGGAUAAGUAGUUGAGGUCUUCAGAACUAGCAGUGCAUUAGUAAUUGAAACGUUUUAAUUCUAAUGCUGUCAAUUUCAAACAAGAGUGCUUUUUGGCAAGCCUUUUAUUUCGGAAAUUCUACAUGGUAACCUUGCAGAGUUGCGGUUUCUAUAUGGAGGACAAAAGAAAAUCAAUCUUCACAAAGUUAUUGAGUACAUUUGUGGAAUUCUGUAAAUUAUUUUCUUUCGUACUCUUUUUUCUCAUUUCCCUUCUCUUCUUUCUAACUACGUGACCAUUGUUUCCACAUUUCUUACCACCACUACCACCUCCGCCUUGAUCAUAUAUGCUCUUCUACCUUUCUGACUUUCGCUAGACCCCUUUUCUGUAGCCCCCUUCCCACUUCCUAUUCCAGAGCCCUUUUCAUGUUUCUCCUUCCUCUUAAGUCACAACUACAACCGCACCGAACCAUGGAAUUGAACUAAUAGUUAGGCGGAGUUGUAACAAAUGUUGGAUUUUCUAUUCCACAAAAGCCUGUUACAAGACGCAGGGUAAAAGUAUGCCCUUCUCUUUGCGUUUGGUUUUGCCACUUUAGAACCUUUUUUUUCUCAUUACAUUGGUUCUUUUGUCAAAUUUGGCCAAAAAUAUUACACUAAUUAAUUUAUAGCUACUGAAGCAUAUUAUUUUAUAUAUAGAGAGAGGUAUUUGUUCACCGAAUGUAUUGACCAUUCAUAUUUUGGUGGGUUUGGUUAAAUAAUAUAGAAAUGUAUACUUUUUGAACACCAAAAUUGCAAAUGAGUUUAAAAAAUCAAUUAAUAUGAACUUUCUACAAAAAUUCAUGUCUUCUUGGGCAUGAUUCGUACCAUUCAUCAGUUACAACUAACAAGCUGUUCCGCACCAACAUGACCGUUACUUAUAACAUGAUUUUUCUUCUUGCACUAAAACCCAGCAGCCAACAAACUGCCUUGUAACUCAAGUGCUUUCUGUGACCACACCGGCAAUCCUACCAUUACUGACAAAGUUGCAAUCAAGCAACAGUGGCACGGAUAUCUAAACAACAGUAGAGAGAGAAAGAAGGAUCACCUAACCUUUGUUGAUGGGAUGAUUUUUUUCGAUAAUGUGGACUGGCUGGGUUUGGUUGUUGAAGCAACGAAAAGGCAAGGGUGUUCGAGAGAUCAAUGCGGAGUGAUAAAAAAUAUAGUAUGGGUGGUGCUAUUUUACGUUAUCGGUUGGGGAGAGUGGUUGUAGUAGGGAAGAAAAGUUGUGUUACAGCUUGUUUGGCAGAAAAGAUUUGGAAGGAAAAGAAAGAAAUUGGAAGGAAAUUUCGUAGUUUCCAAUGUUCAGUUGAAUAAAUAAAUUUAAAUGAAAGAAAAUAGAAGGAAUUGAAAGGAAAUGCUCCUUAAUUAAUUUUCACUUUUCUUUCCUCUCAAAAGUGGGGGAAUUUUGAGAGAGAGAAAAUUUAAAGCAAACAUGGAAAGUUGAGUUUUUUUUUUUUUUUUUUUUUGUUUUCCUUUUUCUUCCUUUCCUUUACCAAAAAUGAACCAACAAGCUGUUAGUGUAUCUGGUGGUGGCCACGGCAGGGGAAUGGUGGGCGGUUCUUGAGGGCAAUAAUGUUUUUUUAGGUGGUGGGGGGGGGGGGGGAGGAGACAUAAAGUACAAUAAGUAUUUCUUUUACUUUUUUCCCUAGAAUAAUUCAUUGAUCUUUUGUGAAAUAAGGUUACAAAGGUACCUCUAAACAAUAGGUUAGGGUUACUUGGUGAUAAAUCGGGUUUCAUCCUCCAUUUUGAAAAUGCAACAAUUCAUUUCACAACAUAUAACUUCUUUUUUUUUUUUUUACUAUUUUCUUUUCCUUACAAGAGGAGAGAUGAAGUACAAUAAGUAUAUCUUUUUUGCUUUUUUUUUUCCUGAAAAUAUUUCAAUGAUCUUUUUGUGAAAUAAAGUUCCAAAGUACCUCUAGACAAUGAGUUAGGCUUACUUGGUCAUUAAUCGGUUUUUAUCUUCCACUUUGAAAAUGCAACAAUUCAUUGUCACCACAUAUAACUUUCCUUUUUUUGAUUUUUAAGACUAUGAGAAUUGUAACUUUAAUACACCUCUUUGCAGUGUGUUAGGUCUUUGUUUAGGAAACAUAUAGGGGAGGUGAAACCGUCACUUUUAUCGGCGUUUGUCAAAUUGCCGACUAUGUCUAGGCGCAAUGCUAGACAUUGGACGAGGCCAUAUUGGUUAAGGUACAUAACUUAUGAGAGUCGCACGUGACUAAGGAGUUAUGCUUGACCCUUACGCGUCCAAGGUGGGUAGCCUAAGAGAUGGGCUAACAUCCAAGGUGUGUACACGUAGUGGGACGUGCAAACGAACUUCGGGGUCGCCCUCAUAAAUCUUGUAUGGUGGUGAUGGAAUUAUCCGUUAAACCAACAUAUAAGGAACCCUAGCAUGACCGUUACACGAAUAUCCACGUUGUGGGAUCAUGGUAGGCGGUUACUAUGCGUUAGUAACCACCCAACAGUUGUAGACCAAGUAGCUUGCUGACUUGGCGGCAGUUACCGAGGCUACAACUAGCGUGGGUCAUGGAGAGCGGUUACCAUGCGUUGGUAACCACCAUACAGUUAUAAAAGGGCACGACUUGGUGACUCGGCGACAGUUACCAAGGCUACAUAGGGUAAAGGAUAAUGAGAUGCGGUUACCAUGUGUUAAUCGCCAAGCACUUGUAAACUAGGAGUUAUGUGACUUGAUGACAAUUACUGACGUGAGUUUAGCGCUGGCGGUUAGUCCCUUAAAAUAAGGAGCAGUUAUUCCUUAUUCUAAGAGGCGGAUAUAGGAAGUUAUCAAGAGGAGUGGGUGGUUAUAUUAACCACCCAUGUUGCCCCAUGCUCCCUUAAAAAAAGGGAACAAUUAUCUAGAGUGUGAGAGGGUAAACUCCUAGAAAGCGGUUACGCUUGACUAAUGAGUAGUUGCGUUUAAGGCCACAUGCGGUUACGCGUGGCUUAGUAGCAGUUCUGUCAAUAGUCAUGGACGGUUACUCUCGGCUCGGUGGGCGGUUACAACUACACAUGUGGGUUGUGCCCUUAGGCUAUUACAACAAGUUGAGCGGACACUUGUACGCUACUGAGCGAGCGGUUACUCGGGACAGUUAGUUAGUGUGUGUGGGAAGUGGCGGUUGAGUAACAACCAUGUUAUAGCCACUUUGUUGUAUUAUAAAUAGUGGCAUUGCCUUAGGCAUUUAGGGAGAGAAUUCAGAUAACACUUUAGCAUUGUAUGAAAGUUGCUAUUAAGAGAUAAAAGCGCUCUCUAUCUCUUAUGUUCUUAUGUGUGCUCUUACUUACAUGAUUCUAACAUAUAAAGCGUGUGAGUGUCAUAGGGUGGUCCACAAACCUUUUGUUGAAUUUUUUUUUUUUGACAAUUUGGUCCAACCUGUCGUAAAAAUCAAAGAUGCUUUCACCAUGAGAACUCCGAAUAGAUACAAUGAAGGUAUUUUGAGUGCCAACUCUUCUCAUAAACAAUCUUGGGUUGCACCAGUCCCAUGGGAUGGAGCAUGAACACAGAGUCAUGUUGGUCAAGCCGAAACAUGAAACUCAAUGGUCGUCGUCUUAAAACCAUAAGUCUUGAACUUAUGUGUUAACCAAGAUCUAAUAAUUACAUAAAAAUGAUCUGCUAAGGUAGGAUGGGGAGAUUCACUAAAGCUGACGCUUGCGAGUGUGUGAUCUCGUAACUUCGGCGAGAUCUGAAGCAUCUACUAAUGGAUAGCGGAAGUAAGAAUGUUUAACCUUGUAUCUUCGAUAAAGUUCGGAGGAUCAAAGGUGAACCUACCUACUCUUUGUAGGAAUAUGAGGGUUUGAUCUCCUUUAUUCGGCGGAGAUCGAAAGAUAGGGAGUGAAAAUACUUGCCUACAAUUUGUAGGUGUGCGAGAGUCUAUCUUCGUAGCGCCAUCGAGGUUUGAGGAGUACAUACUUGCGGCGAGCGAAGUGUGAGGGACUAACCUCAUACGGAGAUACCGGAGCAAGUGUAUCCUCACUCGAGCGGUAAUGAUUUGUCAGAUACUCUUGGUUGAGGAGAGUAGACUGAUCUAAGAGGUGAUUGGCCUCGGAAUGUGGUGUGUCGAGUAUAACAAUGACGAUUGUUGUCAACAUGGUGUUAACGAUGGUUAACCUAAGUCUUGAGGAGAGGGCUUGCAUGUGGUUCCCGGGGCAUAAGCACGCGACUGGAUGACAGGUGAAGGUCAUGAUUCGCACUAAAAGAGACAUGUGAUGGGGAGACUUUUGGAAAAGGGGAAGAUGCCCCUCCUCCGUGGAAAGAGAGGUACCUCGAAUGAUUACUUCUAUUUAUAUGGGAAGUACGCCAUAGAUUCCUAUGUCGGCUUUGAAGGAAAUAAUGGUGAACAGGUUAUGAGAAUUAUCAAUGGUGUCGUUGGCUCGCGAUUAAGGCCACAAGGUGGCUAAGAUCCAAAGUCGACAAGUGUACGAAUGCCAUUGAUUAAGUGAGGAUCAUGAGGGGCAUGGGAUCAAGGAGACUUAUAGUGAGUAAAACAAGUCUGUAAGUGAUGACUACUUGUGAGAAUUCCUGCGAAGGGAAAUCGUACACCUCUCGAUGAAUGUCUCGGUAGUAAAAUUCUAAUGAGGACGUCAGCCUCUAUUUAGUGGUGGAAGUUUGUGACUGUCACUUUUGUUGGCGCUUGUCAAAGAGCCGACUAUGUCUAGGCGCAAUGCUAGACGUUGGACGAGGUCAUGGCGGUUAAGUUACAUAACUCAUGAGAGUCGCACGCGACUAAGGAGUUAUGCUUGACCCUUGCGUGUCCAAGGUGGGUACUCUUAGAGAUGGUUUACCAAGGCUACGCAUGCAAAGGAUAAUGAGAUGCAGUUACCAUGCAUUGGUAAUCGCCUACCGGUUAUAAACUAGGAGGUUUGUGACUUGAUGGCAGUAUUGUUGGCAGUUAGUCCCUUAAAAUAAGGAGCGGUUAUUCCUUAUUCUAAGGGGAGGUUAUGGGAAGUUAUCAAGCGUAGUGAUAUUAACAACCCACACCCAUGUUCCCUUAAAAAGGGGAACGAUAAUCAGGAGUGUGAGGGGGCACACUCAUAUAAUUCAGGAGCGGUUACACUUGACUUAUGAGCGGUUGUGUCUAAGGCCACAAGUGGUUAUGUGUGCUUAGUAGCAGUUGUGUCAAUAGUCAUGGACGGUUACUCUCGGCGUGGUGGGCGGUUACAACUACACUCGUGGGUGGUUGGUUGUGCCCUUGGGCAGUCAUGAUAAACUUGAGCGAACACUUGUACGCUACUAAGCGAGUAGUAACUCAUGGCAGUUAUUUAGUGUGUGAAGGGAAGUGGACGGUUGAGUAACCAUCCACGUUCCUCACCACUCCUGAAAUUAAGCAACCCAAUCAACAAGUUAGUGAGGAUCUCCCACGUUUGGUGAGUGCGAGCAUAAUGGAGAAGUUAGUGGGUGAUUAUCAUAGAGAGUGGGCGGUAGCCACUUUGUUGUAUUAUAAAUGGAGGUCUUGCCUUAGGCAUUUAGGGAGAGAAUUCAUAAAACACUUUAGCAUUGUAUGAAAGUUGCUCUUAAGAAAUAAAAACACUCUAUCUCUUGUGUUCUCGUGUGUGCUCUUACUUACGUGAUUUUAAUGUAUAAAGUGCAUGAGUGUCGUAGGCUGGUCUAGACGUGGUCUAGGCGCCAUCACAUGAACCUCUUAGUGCGAAAAAGGAGGUAUUCAAAGAAUUUUCUGUGACAAGAGGGAAUAGGGGAGGGACUAGGAAGGGGUUUAAGGAUAGGAGUGCACUUGCAAUCUUCUUUCUAAUUUUUUUCUUAAAUCUCAAUAGGAUUUGGCUUAUUUGAAGGACGAGGGAAAUGGAUUUUUAGGGAAUGAUUUCUUGCUUGCCACCCCCUUUUCUAUUCAAUUGUUAUUUUCCAUUAGGUGACUUACACCGUUACACACAUGUUAAAGGAGAAUCAUGUGAUAUGGAGAGAGAUAGAGGGUGAUUCGAGAAAGUGCCCAUAAGGAGAGAUAUAGAGUGCCAACGUAAUGAGAACAGAUAUAUGGAGAAACUACAUACCAACCAAAUAAGGUAUGUUCAUUGUUGUGACUGGAGGAACUAUUAUUGUUUCCUCCUUUCUUUUUCUCAAAAUGAAUAAAGAACAAGCAAAAUCACCAAUGUGAUGAGAAGAGAGAAAUGGAGAAACUACAUACCAGCCAAAUCAGGUAUAUGCUUUUGAGUCUCAACAACGUUUUUUGAGGAACGGGAUAUGUUUUUGAUGAUCGUUUGUACUGUCUGAAGAAACAAUUCUAUUCUUCAUAGAUUUGUUGUAUUUUCCAGCAGAAAUGAAGUAAAAAUUAUAAGCCAAUUGAGUGCUUUGGCUACUAUACAUAAUAGAAGUGCCAAUGUAUAUGCUUUUGAUUCACGGUUUUGUAAAGAUCUUGGGACAUGAAGUGAUGUAAGAAUUGAAGAUUCUUUUGAGACAAGUCACAAUUUCGCAUGAAUCUAGUAACACGAUAACACCUGGUGUUUAAGGUGUAUAUAUUGAUUUUAAUGCAAUAUUUUCUAA